rnacentral:lncRNA from 1 species
AUGUUUGACUCUCACGUAACGAGCGCAUCUCUGCCGCUCCGUUACUCGGUAACGGAGAUGUUACGUCUACGCAUCUUCUCAAGGACCCCCCCACCUCAGCUUGCAUCCCACCAUGACAUUCUCAAACAACCAAAAUACAUCCACCGAGGCUCUGGACGGAAUUUUCAGUACACUCACACCAGCAACAAAAACAUCCGCUCCUUCUGGUCCACUGGGCCCCGCCCCCCUCCUCGCACAGCCCGUACGGUCAGUCCCGUCAAUCACAGUGUACUGUCCUCUCUGCUCAAAGCAACCUGCUACACUCUACUCACCUGUCUGAAACUCUGUCUGCUGAACACCAGAUCCCUCAGUAAUAAGGCCCUUUUGAUAAAUGACUUUAUUGUUGACCAGAGCCUAGACAUUCUCUGCCUCACUGAGACCUGGCAACAACCAAAUGACUUCUCCCAUCUAAAUGAGGCUGUCCCACCAGGUUUUUCUUUUAUUAGUAAACCCCGGGUUAAUGGGAGGGGAGGUGGCCUCGCUCUCCUCCAUCGUGAUAACAUCAAAGUCACCACUGUCACAGUCCCCAUUCACUCCUCCUUUAAAUGUCUAGCUGUAAAACUCUCAGGCCCCAAACCCACUAUCAUUGUCACCAUUUACAGACCACCAAAACCCUCUGCCGUUUUCCUCAAUGAAUUCUCAUCACUGCUUACAUCUGUAUGUGCAAUGUCCCCCACUGUUAUCCUCCUUGGUGAUUUCAACAUCCACAUUGACAACCCAUCCUGUACUUUUGCUAAUGACUUCACAUCACUUCUGGACUGUCUUGGCAUCACACAACAUGUCAACCUCCCAACCCAUAACAAAGGUCACAUUCUGGAUUUAAUCUGCUGCACUGACAUCACUCCCACUAACCUUGAUGUCAUUGAUUUCCCCAUCUCCGACCACAAAGCUGUACUUUUUGACAUUCAUACCCAACUACACAAAACCAAGGAACAACGGACCAUCUCCUUCAGAAACAUCAAACUUAUCAACACCACAGACCUCUCCACCAUGAUCAGCUCCUACCCCAAUCCUCCCCCAGCUUCCUCCUUGACUGACCUGGUGACUCACUACAAUAACUGCCUCACCACCCUGGCCCCCCUGAAAACCCGCUCAGUCUCAUUCACCCACACUGCUCCCUGGUUCACUCCUCAUCUGCGCCAGCUCAAAGCCACUGGUCGUCGACUGGAGCGACUCUACAAUAAGACUCAACUCACUGUACACCGCCAAAUGUAUUCAGACCACCUCCAUCACUACAAGAAUGCCCUCACCACUGCCAAAACCUCAUACUACUCCAACCUCAUCAACACUGGUGCAGGCAACAGCAGAGUCCUCUUCUCAACAGUCAGCCACUUACUUCAGCCUCCUAAAUCCCUCCCUCCAGACAUUUCCACCACCCAAUGCACUGCGUUCCUGGACAUCUUCAGCUCUAAAAUCAACACCAUUCACCAACAACUGGCCUCAUCUCGCACCCCCUCUGAUGACCCACCCUGGAUGAUCACCUCUGGCCAACCUCUCAUCAGCUCCCUCUCUGACUUCACCCCAGUAACAGAACAGACCGUUUCAGAACUCAUCCGCAAAGCCAAAACCACCACCUGUCAACUCGAUCCUCUUCCCACCUCCCUUGUCAAAGCAUGUCUUCCGUCCAUCUCCCCCAUGAUCACCAACAUAAUUAACUCCUCCCUCACUACUGGUACUGUACCCCCCACUCUCAAGCUGGCUGCCAUCACUCCCAUCCUGAAAAAACCUGGUGCUGACCAGAGGUGGGUAGGAACGCGCUACAUUUACUCCGUUACAAAUACUUGA